rnacentral:rRNA from 1 species
GACGAACGCUGGCGGCGUGCCUAAUACAUGCAAGUAGAACGCUGAAGGAGGAGCUUGCUCUUCUGGAUGAGUUGCGAACGGGUGAGUAACGCGUAGGUAACCUGCCUGGUAGCGGGGGAUAACUAUUGGAAACGAUAGCUAAUACCGCAUAACAGUAGAUGUUGCAUGACAUUUACUUAAAAGGUGCAAUUGCAUCACUACCAGAUGGACCUGCGUUGUAUUAGCUAGUUGGUGGGGUAACGGCUCACCAAGGCGACGAUACAUAGCCGACCUGAGAGGGUGAUCGGCCACACUGGGACUGAGACACGGCCCAGACUCCUACGGGAGGCAGCAGUAGGGAAUCUUCGGCAAUGGACGGAAGACUGACCGAGCAACGCCGCGUGAGUGAAGAAGGUUUUCGGAUCGGAAAGCUCUGUUGUAAGAGAAGAACGAGUGUGAGAGUGGAAAGUUCACACUGUGACGGUAUCUGACCAGAAAGGGACGGCUAACUACGUG